rnacentral:rRNA from 1 species
GUUUUGGAUAAUGGGGGCAACCCUGAUCCAGCCAUCCCGCGUGUGCGAUGAAUGCGUUCGUGUUGUAAAGCAAUUUUGGCAGGGAAAAAAAGGCUCUGGAUAAUACCUGGAGCUGUCGACGGUACCUGCAGAAUAAGCACCGGCCAACUACCUAUCAUCAGCCGCGGUAAUACGUAGGGUGCAAGCGUUGAUCGGAAUUACUGGGCGUAAACCGUGCGCAGGAGGUUCGGCAAGAAGGAUGUGAAAUCCCAGGGCUUAACCUUGGAACUGCAUUCUUAACUGCCGGGCUAGAGUAUGUCAGAGGGGGGUAGAAUUCCGCGUGUAGCAGUGAAAUGCGUAGAGAUGCGGAGGAAUACCGAUGGCGAAGGCAGCCCCCUGGGAUAAUACUGACGCUCAUGCACGAAAGCGUGGGGAGCAAAC